rnacentral:rRNA from 1 species
CUGGAGGUAUCAGAAGUGCGAAUGCUGACAUAAGUAACGAUAAAGCGGGUGAAAAGCCCGCUCGCCGGAAGACCAAGGGUUCCUGUCCAACGUUAAUCGGGGCAGGGUGAGUCGACCCCUAAGGCGAGGCCGAAAGGCGUAGUCGAUGGGAAACAGGUUAAUAUUCCUGUACUUGGUGUUACUGCGAAGGGGGGACGGAGAAGGCUAUGUUGGCCGGGCGACGGUUGUCCCGGUUUAAGCGUGUAGGCUGGUUUUCCAGGCAAAUCCGGAAAAUCAAGGCUGAGGCGUGAUGACGAGGCACUACGGUGCUGAAGCAACAAAUGCCCUGCUUCCAGGAAAAGCCUCUAAGCAUCAGGUAACAUCAAAUCGUACCCCAAACCGACACAGGUGGUCAGGUAGAGAAUACCAAGGCGCUUGAGAGAACUCGGGUGAAGGAACUAGGCAAAAUGGUGCCGUAACUUCGGGAGAAGGCACGCUGAUAUGUAGGUGAGGUCCCUCGCGGAUGGAGCUGAAAUCAGUCGAAGAUACCAGCUGGCUGCAACUGUUUAUUAAAAACACAGCACUGUGCAAACACGAAAGUGGACGUAUACGGUGUGACGCCUGCCCGGUGCCGGAAGGUUAAUUGAUGGGGUUAGCGCAAGCGAAGCUCUUGAUCGAAGCCCCGGUAAACGGCGGCCGUAACUAUAACGGUCCUAAGGUAGCGAAAUUCCUUGUCGGGUAAGUUCCGACCUGCACGAAUGGCGUAAUGAUGGCCAGGCUGUCUCCACCCGAGACUCAGUGAAAUUGAACUCGCUGUGAAGAUGCAGUGUACCCGCGGCAAGACGGAAAGACCCCGUGAACCUUUACUAUAGCUUGACACUGAACAUUGAGCCUUGAUGUGUAGGAUAGGUGGGAGGCUUUGAAGUGUGGACGCCAGUCUGCAUGGAGCCGACCUUGAAAUACCACCCUUUAAUGUUUGAUGUUCUAACGUUGACCCGUAAUCCGGGUUGCGGACAGUGUCUGGUGGGUAGUUUGACUGGGGCGGUCUCCUCCUAAAGAGUAACGGAGGAGCACGAAGGUUGGCUAAUCCUGGUCGGACAUCAGGAGGUUAGUGCAAUGGCAUAAGCCAGCUUGACUGCGAGCGUGACGGCGCGAGCAGGUGCGAAAGCAGGUCAUAGUGAUCCGGUGGUUCUGAAUGGAAGGGCCAUCGCUCAACGGAUAAAAGGUACUCCGGGGAUAACAGGCUGAUACCGCCCAAGAGUUCAUAUCGACGGCGGUGUUUGGCACCUCGAUGUCGGCUCAUCACAUCCUGGGGCUGAAGUAGGUCCCAAGGGUAUGGCUGUUCGCCAUUUAAAGUGGUACGCGAGCUGGGUUUAGAACGUCGUGAGACAGUUCGGUCCCUAUCUGCCGUGGGCGCUGGAGAACUGAGGGGGGCUGCUCCUAGUACGAGAGGACCGGAGUGGACGCAUCACUGGUGUUCGGGUUGUCAUGCCAAUGGCACUGCCCGGUAGCUAAAUGCGGAAGAGAUAAGUGCUGAAAGCAUCUAAGCACGAAACUUGCC